rnacentral:rRNA from 1 species
UGAAGGAUGGGCUCGCGGCUAUCAGCUUGUUGGUGAGGUAAAGGCUCACCAAGGCGACGACGGGUAGCCGGCUGAGAGGGUGACCGGCCACACUGGAACUGAGACACGGUCCAGACUCCUACGGGAGGCAGCAGUGGGGAAUAUUGCACAAUGGGCGCAAGCCUGAUGCAGCAACGCCGCGUGAGGGAUGAAGGCCUUCGGGUUGUAAACCUCUUUUAGCAGGGAAGAAGCGAAAGUGACGGUACCUGCAGAAAAAGCACCGGCUAACUACGUGCCAGCAGCCGCGGUAAUACGUAGGGUGCAAGCGUUGUCCGGAAUUAUUGGGCGUAAAGAGCUCGUAGGCGGUUUGUCGCGUCUGCUGUGAAAACCAGAAGCUCAACUUCUGGCCUGCAGUGGGUACGGGCAAACUAGAGUGCGGUAGGGGAGAACGGAAUUCCUGGUGUAGCGGUGGAAUGCGCAGAUAUCAGGAGGAACACCGAUGGCGAAGGCAGUUCUCUGGGCCGUUACUGACGCUGAGGAGCGAAAGCGUGGGGAGCGAACAGGAUUAGAUACCCUGGUAGUCCACGCCGUAAACGGUGGGUGCUAGCUGUGGGCCACAUUCCACGUGGUCCGUGACGAAGUUAACACAUUAAGCACCCCGCCUGGGGAGUACGGCCGCAAGGCUAAAACUCAAAGGAAUUGACGGGGGCCCGCACAAGCGGCGGAGCAUGCGGAUUAAUUCGAUGCAACGCGAAGAACCUUACCAAGGCUUGACAUAUAGAGGAAAAGUACAGAAAUGUGCUCCCCGUAAGGUCUCUAUACAGGUGGUGCAUGGUUGUCGUCAGCUCGUGUCGUGAGAUGUUGGGUUAAGUCCCGCAACGAGCGCAACCCUCGUCCUAUGUUGCCAGCACGUUAUGGUGGGAACUCAUGGGAUACUGCCGGGGUCAACUCGGAGGAAGGUGGGGAUGACGUCAAAUCAUCAUGCCCCUUAUGUCUUGGGCUUCACGCAUGCUACAAUGGCCGGUACAGAG